UGUCUGCGGGGCUCUGGCCUCAGUGGCUCGCUCUGUCACUCCGCUUUCCAAUACACGCACCCGCAGGACUUUCUUUGAGGGUUUCCUUUUUUGGAGUGAGCACUGAACGCAGAGCGCUUGGACGGUGGCGCGGCGUUCACGACCCGGCCCCGCGCAGACUCCAGAGACUCCUGCAGGAUAGGGAGCAGCUCCUAAAGGCCCUUUCCUCCUUCCUCCUAUUUGCCUCACAGUCCCCCACAAGAAGCACCCCCUCUUAAGCAGGGCCAGGACAGGUGACGCCUGUACAUCCCACCCCCCCACCCACAUUUGGAAAGGGUUAGAGAGGAAAAGAAAAGCCUAGCGUGUUAGAAAAUUAAAGCAAAAUCCUUGACAAAUGAAAACAAUCCAGCGCAUUUUAGCACUGCUUUUAGAGGAGUGCUGUGAUAGUGGUCCGGCCCUG
rnacentral:lncRNA from 1 species